rnacentral:tRNA from 1 species
AUCCGGAUGAUGGAAUGGCAGACAUAGGCAAGUUAAGUUUGUCGGGUUUAAUACCUUGGACGUUCAAGUCGUCCUCCGGAUA